CUUGGUGACCAUAGCGUCAGUGACCCACCCGAUCCCAUCCCGAACUCGGCCGUGAAACCUGACUGCGCCGAUGGUACUGUGGCUCAAGCCCCGGCCCCGGAAGAGUAGGGCGUCGCCAGGC
rnacentral:rRNA from 1 species